CAGUCGCCGCGGUAAUACGAAGGGGGCUAGCGUUGUUCGGAUUUACUGGGCGUAAAGCGCACGUAGGCGGACUUUUAAGUCAGGGGUGAAAUCCCGGGGCUCAACCCCGGAACUGCCUUUGAUAAUGGAAGUCUUGAGUAUGGUAGAGGUGAGUGGAAUUCCGAGUGUAGAGGUGAAAUUCGUAGAUAUUCGGAGGAACACCAGUGGCGAAGGCGGCUCACUGGACCAUUACUGACGCUGAGGUGCGAAAGCGUGGGGAGCAAACAGGAUUAGAUACCCCAGUAGUCCCUGUCUCUUAUAC
rnacentral:rRNA from 1 species